CACAGUUUGAUAUGUUUUUAAUCCAAAUAUCUAUAUCUGAAUAGAGAUGAAGAGGCAGAUCAUUAGGAUUGCAAAGAAUAAACUUCAAUAUGAGACCUCCACGAGAUAAAAGAAUACUGCUGCCGGUUAUUGAAAAUUCAUAUAGUUUAGUUUCUCUAAUUCUGAAAGGAAACCUCUGAGAAAGCCGGUUGAAGAAAAGGUCAUCAAAAACUAGGUGUGAGUGCAUUUCCCAUAUACCCCUCUAUGUUUUUGAGAGAAUGCUCAUUCUUGCUACACAGUCAACCGGCAAUCACUUUUGAAUUAGGUCUAGUAAGUCACUGGGCAUGUCACUUUUGAAUUAGACCUUAUUCUAAAGCGAUUGCCGGUUGACUGUAUUGCAAGAAUGUGCAUUCUCUCAAAAACAUGGAGGGGUAAAUGGGAAAUGCACCCACACCUAGUUUUUGAUGACUAGGUCAUCAAAAACUAGGUGUGAGUGCAUUUCCCAUUUACCCCUCUAUGUUUUUGAGAGAAUGCUCAUUCUUGCUACACAGUCAACCGGCAAUCACUUUUGAAUUAGGUCUAGUAAGUCACUGGGCAUGUCACUUUUGAAUUAGACCUUAUUCUAAAGCGAUUGCCGG
rnacentral:lncRNA from 1 species